GGAGGAUGUGGUUGGGCAAAUGCGUGAACGCUGAACGCGUGGUAGAUGUCUUAGUAACCAAUGUGACAUGAACGGAAGCCCCACACAAACCAGGGCGGGGCCAGGGGGAAGGGUGUGUCCCAUGCUGUAACUUGGUGAGCCCUCGGAACAUAACAAGGUCAGCAGUUGAAAACAGUGCCGUUUUGUUCCGUUGUCUUUCUGUCUUUCUGUCUUUCUGUCUUUCUGUCUGUAGUGUGUUUUGUCUCCAACCCUCAACUGUGGGCGCCGUUACUGACUCGCCGCCGUUACUGUUUGUCUCCUGCUAGUAUUAUUAGUUGAUGGGUAUUAGUUAGAGCUGGUACUCUGGUCAGGUGUCCAUCUGGAUCAAAAACGAAGAGGAAGAUGGGGAAGAGACCAGAUGCCCACGGACUAAUUUCAAGUGGAAAUGGAUUACGGUUACGAUGCAGCUAUUCUGAGGAAUGCUAUGAUGCUUCAAGGAGACCCUCAGCAGAUGCAGUCUAUUCACCUGCAGAAACCUCCAGAAUCAGAAGCCAGAUACAUUUCAGUUAUUUCAAAUUAUGAUUCUAUAAGAUGACCUGAACUUAUUACAUUAAAAGUUUGGUUUUCCCCUGCCUUGGUUUACCAUGUGUGUUUUAUAAAAUGAUAGAAACACAUUAUGGUUUUGUUAUUUGACGGUUUCUGUUGUUACCAAGAGUGAAAAAGACCACCAGGGUUUAUCAUGUUAAACCUUCCCCCAUCCCCAGGCCAAGGAAUUAUCUGUUGAACCAGGCUUUCUGUUGAAAUUUCAGGUUUAAAACUUUUUGCCUUUUUUCUCUGAUUUCUUUUCCUCUAAAGAAAACGAGAGUGGAUAUCUUUAAAACCAGCUCACCCCUCAGUGCACCGUGCAUUAUAGAGGAAGUUGGAUUCAACCACAGAAGCCUCCUAAGGGGGAAGGGGAGUAAAAGAAAAGUAAAGAUCACAAAAAGGAAGGUCUGUGGACAGCAACACAUGCUGGUGUGGUUUUGUUUGGUUGAUAGGGUCCGUGACUGCAGUGAGGGAG
rnacentral:lncRNA from 14 species